UUUAUGGAGAGUUUGAUCCUGGCUCAGAGUGAACGCUGGCGGCGUGCCUAAUACAUGCAAGUCGAACGAUGAAGCCUAGCUUGCUAGGUGGAUUAGUGGCGCACGGGUGAGUAACGCAUAGAUGACAUGCCCUUUAGUUUGGGAUAGCCACUAGAAAUGGUGAUUAAUACCAAAUAUUACCCUACGGGGGANUAUGCUUAAAAACUCUAAACUAGCUAAAGCCCUAAGUGAUGUCAGCAUAUCUGCCUUUAACACGCUUUUAGACUACAAGGCAAAGUAUUAUGGGCGGGAAAUUUUACGGGCGGACACUUUUUACCCGAGCUCUAAGACUUGUUCCAGCUGUGGCAGUGUCAAAAAAGACUUAAGCCUAAAUGAUAGAGUUUAUAAGUGCGGUGUUUGCGGUGUUGUGGUGGAUAGAGAUUUUAACGCUAGUGUCAAUCUAGUGAAGCAUUUAGUAAGUGGAGUUCCCACUGAAUUUACGCCUGCGGACAUGACAGCUCUAUUAGGUUGUUUUGCAAAGAAUGGCUUAGUAACCAGCAUGGUGGAAACAGGAAUACAACAAAAACCGCUAAAAUUUUUUUCUAUUGAUAGGAUUUUAUAGGAUUUUAUGCGGUUUUAUAGGUUUGUAAGAACGGUAUCGUUGGACUAAAAAAGAAGUUCAGACUUUGCUCAAAGACAUUGUGCGUUUUAUGCGCAAGAGCAAACUAGAUAAAGAUGAAUGUUAGAGCCUACAGCCCCUUGUGGUGAAGAAGGUGGAUGGAAAUUACCAUGUCAUCGAUGGGCAACAACGGCUCACCGCAAUAUUUUUAAUCAUCAAGUGCCUCGAGAAGAAGGAUUUCUUCACCCUUGAUUAGAAAGCAGAGAGAAGAGCUUUAAAUUUUUAUCCAACAUCCACAAUCCAACCACACCGCAAAAAAUCAACAUCGAUUUUUACCAUUUUAAAAAGGCUUAUAAGGCAAUUAAAGAUUAUAAAUAUGAAGAGGAGAAGGAGAAGUUUUUUGAUGAUCUAGAAAAAAGAUUUGGGCUUUGUUGGGCUAAAAAGCCCCCCAAAAUCCUAACAACCUUCCAAAAGUUUAGAAGUUGUAAACAUAGUUGAAGUAAACAGACACAUUGCGUUUGUAAGCGAUGUCUGUCUUCAUGCCAUCAGCAUUCACACCCUUGAAGUAGUAGUUGGUGGCAAGGGGGAUUCUUAGACCGAUUUCAAAGCCAUUGUGUCUGUUGACAUUCGUCCUAAAGCCCAAAUUCAAGGGGAUUUGGAAGUAGCUGGUGUUCAUGACCGCAUGGCCGCCGUGUGAAUUGUCGUAAUUCAUCAAGUAGGUGUAGUAACUUUGCCCUUUGACCGCCCAGCUAGAGCCAUCCAACAUGAGCCCUGCAAACAGACCCGUGGUGUAUUUGCCGUCUUUGCUUUCGUAGAAGUUAUACAGCGCAUCCACCCCAGCCCCAUAGACAAAGUUGUCAAGUUCAGCUGCAUUGCUGUUCAUGAAGGUGCCGUGUUGGUA
rnacentral:rRNA from 1 species